rnacentral:tRNA from 1 species
CGCGUGACUGCGCCGGUGGUGGUGUUGACGCCGGUCACCCGAACUUCGUUGUUGUCGUAGCGGCGCUGGUUCCAGCCCAGCGUCAGGCGG